AUUGAACGCUGGCGGCAGGCCUAACACAUGCAAGUCGAGCGGAUGAAGGGAGCUUGCUCCUGGAUUCAGCGGCGGACGGGUGAGUAAUGCCUAGGAAUCUGCCUGGUAGUGGGGGAUAACGUCCGGAAACGGGCGCUAAUACCGCAUACGUCCUGAGGGAGAAAGUGGGGGAUCUUCGGACCUCACGCUAUCAGAUGAGCCUAGGUCGGAUUAGCUAGUUGGUGGGGUAAAGGCCUACCAAGGCGACGAUCCGUAACUGGUCUGAGAGGAUGAUCAGUCACACUGGAACUGAGACACGGUCCAGACUCCUACGGGAGGCAGCAGUGGGGAAUAUUGGACAAAGGGCGAAAGCCUGAUCCAGCCAUGCCGCGUGUGUGAAGAAGGUCUUCGGAUUGUAAAGCACUUUAAGUUGGGAGGAAGGGCAGUAAGUUAAUACCUUGCUGUUUUGACGUUACCAACAGAAUAAGCAACGGCUAACUUCGUG
rnacentral:rRNA from 1 species